AACGAACGCUGGCGGCAGGCCUAACACAUGCAAGUCGAGCGCUCACCUUCGGGUGGGAGCGGCGCACGGGUGAGUAACACGUGGGAACCUACCUUGAAGUACGGAAUAACUGAGGGAAACUUCAGCUAAUACCGUAUACGCCCUACGGGGGAAAGAUUUAUCGCUUCAAGGCGGGCCCGCGUUGGAUUAGCUAGUUGGUGAGGUAACGGCUCACCAAGGCAACGAUCCAUAGCUGAUUUGAGAGAAUGAUCAGCCACACUGGGACUGAGACACGGCCCAGACUCCUACGGGAGGCAGCAGUGGGGAAUAUUGGACAAUGGGCGCAAGCCUGAUCCAGCCAUGCCGCGUGAGUGAUGAAGGCCUUCGGGUUGUAAAGCUCUUUCAGAUGGGACGAUGAUGACGGUACCAUCAGAAGAAGCCCCGGCUAACUUCGUGCCAGCAGCCGCGGUAAAAC
rnacentral:rRNA from 1 species